GACGAACGCUGGCGGCGUGCUUAACACAUGCAAGUCGAACGGAAAGGCCCUGCUUUUGUGGGGUGCUCGAGUGGCGAACGGGUGAGUAACACGUGAGUAACCUGCCCUUGACUUUGGGAUAACUUCAGGAAACUGGGGCUAAUACCGGAUAGGAGCUCCUGCUGCAUGGUGGGGGUUGGAAAGUUUCGGCGGUGUGGGAUGGACUCGCGGCUUAUCAGCUUGUUGGUGGGGUAGUGGCGUACCAAGGCUUUGACGGGUAGCCCGCCCUAGAGGGGGACCGGCCCCACUGGGGCUUCGGGAGGGAGCAGCAGCCCACCGGGGGCAAGGGGGGGGAACAUUCCGCAACUGGGCGGCGGCCGUGUCAACGAUCCCCGGUUCGGGAAGCCCGGCUUUGGGGUUGAAACCCCUUUUGACGUUGACCAAGGCGUAGUGACGGUAACUGGUAAAAAAGCCCCGGCUAACUACGUG
rnacentral:rRNA from 1 species